rnacentral:rRNA from 1 species
UACGAAGGGGGCUAGCGUUGCUCGGAAUCACUGGGCGUAAAGGGUGCGUAGGCGGGUCUUUAAGUCAGGGGUGAAAUCCUGGAGCUCAACUCCAGAACUGCCUUUGAUACUGAAGAUCUUGAGUUCGGGAGAGGUGAGUGGAACUGCGAGUGUAGAGGUGAAAUUCGUAGAUAUCUGGAGGAACACCGGUGGCGAAGGCGGCAUCCUGGACCGAUACUGACGCUGAGGAGCGAAAGCCAGGGGAGCAAACGGG